rnacentral:rRNA from 1 species
UUCGCCUACGGAGGCAGCAAUCGAGAAUCAUUCACAACGGGGGAAACCCUGAUGGUGCGACGCCGCGUGGGGGAAUGAAGGUCUUCGGAUUGUAAACCCCUGUCAUGUGGGAGCAAAUUAAAAAGAUAGUACCACAGGAGGAAGAGACGGCUAACUCUGUGCCAGCAGCCGCGGUAAUACAGAGGUAUCAAGCGUUGUUCGGAAUCACUGGGCGUAAAGCGUGCGUAGGCUGUUUCGUAAGUCGUGUGUGAAAGGCGCGGGCUCAACCCGCGGACGGCACAUGAUACUGCGAGACUAG